GUGUAAACACUACGCCAGGACACAGUAACACUUAGAGAAAGCUUCUUUAUUGUGUAGUUUUACGUGACCUAUAAACAGUUAUGGUCAAUCAGUGAGAGCAGGUGCCACGGAAGUUAACUGAGAAACCAUAAUUCAGUUGAGAGGACUUUACUGCCACAGCAAGCCAACGUUAAAAACGUGAAUGGACAGAGCGGCAAGUUGAUCACGAAGGUUGACCAUAAACACCUCGUUACAAGGAACGAGGAGCUGGCGUGAAGCCCUGGGAAUCCGCUCGCUGACUCCUCCCCUUUUCACAGGGUGAGGAAGUCAGAGCUGAGCGUCCAUAAGAAGACACAUCCAUUCAGCGCUGGCAGUCAGCCAGAGGGGAUGGUGACACAUCUCUGAAAAACAGCUUCUGCCAGUGGAUCAAACUGGGAGGCGAAUUUGGGGGGAGUAUACUGGACAAAGAGGGAUGAGCAGUUCCACCCCUGACCCUGCACUGGUCCACACUGCAGACACGAGGCAUCGGGAUGGUGCCGAUCUGGGUGACGUGAUUGGCUGAGAGCCUGCU